UGGAUUGUAUCUUGGAAAAGGCCAGUUC
rnacentral:piRNA from 1 species